AAGCCCCAGCAUCAGGUCCAGCCCAAGCCCCAGCAUCAGGUCCAGCCCAAGCACCAGCAUCAGGCUCAGCCCGAGCCCCAGCAUCAGGUCCAGCCCAAGCACCAGCAUCAGGCUCAGCCCGAGCCCCAGCAUCAGGUCCAGCCCGAGCCCCAGCAUCAGGCUCAGCCCGAGCCACAGCCUCAGUUCUUGGCCCUGGCUGAGUCCCAGUCUCAGGCCCAGGAAAAUGAGACCUUUUAUCUUUUAGAUUUAUACCCUGUCUCUCCCCCACCCCCAACAAAAAAAAGAAAGUGUUGCCGGAAAUGCAGUAGGCAAAAAGUUUUCAAAUACGACUCCAUAACAGGAAGAAGGAUAAAUGAGGGGCAAGCAGAAGUAAGGGUGAAAUGGUUACCUUGCUCUGCAUGUGGAAAAAUCUGGGAGGAGACAUGGGAGCCGGCCUGCCAGUUCUCACCAGGUGUCAAGCAUGUGUGACGUCACCCAUUCAUCUACAAUUCAGUAUGAGUUGAAUACCUGCUAUGAGUUGUCGAGUUCGCUGUUACGGCACAGCCAUCCUGUUUGCGCAUGUGAUGAUUUUAGAUAAGAAGGAGGAGCCACGUUACACACUUUCAAUGGUUUCCACCCUAACAUGCUGUCAUGCUGUUUUUUUUUCU